UGAUAGCGAUGAAGCAUGAGGUUGCCGCUAGCAAUUAGCGGGUUUUCUGUGGAGCGAAUGUCAAGUUAGGAAACUGGCGACAA
rnacentral:ncRNA from 1 species